rnacentral:rRNA from 1 species
UACGGGGGGGGCAAGCGUUGUUCGGAAUUACUGGGCGUAAAGGGCUCGUAGGCGGCUAACUAAGUCAGACGUGAAAUCCCUCGGCUUAACCGGGGAACUGCGUCUGAUACUGGAUGGCUUGAGAUUGGGAGAGGGAUGCGGAAUUCCAGGUGUAGCGGUGAAAUGCGUAGAUAUCUGGAGGAACACCGGUGGCGAAGGCGGCAUCCUGGACCAACACUGACGCUGAUGAGCGAAAGCCAGGGGAGCAAACGGG